UACGUAGGUGGCAAGCGUUGUCCGGAUUUACUGGGCGUAAAGGGCCAGUAGGCGGCCAACUAAGUCGGAUGUGAAAUCCCCAGGCUUAACUUGGGAACUGCAUCCGAUACUGGAUGGCUUGAAUUCGGGAGAGGGAUGCAGAAUUCCAGGUGUAGCGGUGAAAUGCGUAGAUAUCUGGAGGAAUACCGGUGGCGAAGGCGGCAUCCUGGACCGAGAUUGACGCUGAGCGGCGAAAGCUAGGGGAGCAAACGGG
rnacentral:rRNA from 1 species